rnacentral:rRNA from 1 species
GAUGAACGCUAGCUACAGGCUUAACACAUGCAAGUCGAGGGACCGGCGCACGGGUGAGUAACACGUAUCCAACCUGCCCUUUUCUCGGGGUUAGCCUUUCGCACGAGAGAUUAAUACCCGAUGGAAAGGCUGGGGAUGCGUUCCAUUAGGUUGUUGGUGAGGUAACGGCUAACCAAGCCUUCGAUGGAUAGGGGUUCUGAGCGGAAGGUCCCCCACAAUGGAACUGAGACACGGUCCAAACUCCUACGGGAGGCAGCAGUGAGGAAUAUUGGUCAAUGGGCGUUAGCCUGAACCAGCCAAGUAGCGUGAAGGAUGAAGGCUUAUGGGUCGUAAACUUCUUUUAUAUAAGAAUAUGUAUUAGAUGAAUAAGGAUCGGCUAACUCCGUGCCAGCCGCCGCGGUAAUAC